rnacentral:lncRNA from 1 species
AGAGGUCGGCGCGCUUUCCUGGGGAGCACGGCUGUAGAAGCCCAGGAGCACGGUCGCCUUGGCCAGCCUGGGAACGAAUCCAAGCCUGGCUGGGACUGAGCCCCUCAUUCUGGUUCCAUCCUGGAGCCAACCGUGUCGGCAGCAAGCAUCGAGACUGGCAAUUCCUGCCAGCAGCCGCGCCAGUUUGAGGGACCAAUGGUGAAAGUUGACAUCAUACGGGAUCUCUCAUCCAAUCCCACAUAAACGGAACGGUUGGUCUCAAACUGAACAUAUGGCUUCCCCUUCCCCCGGAGUCUGAUCUCAGCCUGGCCUCAGGCUGGGCUACCGCUAAACAACCUUCUGCAGCCCAGCACUGUGCACACCAGAGUAUGAGCAUCUUCCUUGACUCCUUCCUCUUUCCUGGGACUUGGUUCUGUUCUCUAAAUACCUCUGGGCAUGAGCCCUUUUCUCGCUCUCUGUCUCUGUCUUUGCUGCAGACCAGAGCACAGUGAUCUCUCACCUGCUACCCUUAUGGAGAACCACAUCCCCACCACCUUCAAGGGUAAGGCCCCAUCAGGACUAGUCUGUAAGCCACCCCAGAUACGGGGACACCAACGAUGUGACUCUACAUCCUCUUGCUCCUAUAUCCAAAAAACUUUUUUUUCCCGAGACAGGGUUUCUCUGAUUAGCUCUGGCUAUCCUGGAACUCACUUUGUAGACCAGGCUGGCCUCUGCCUGCCUCUGCCUCCCGAGUGCUGGGAUUAAAGGCGUGUGCCACCACGCCUGCCUUCCAAGAACCUUUUGUGGCAGGGGACAAGGAAGAGGCUAAGCUCUGGACUUGAAUCCUGGCUUCUCUCCUUAGGAACUGAGAGAGUUAGUUGUCUGACCUGCUUGAACCUCUCUUCCUCCCUUGAACCUCUCUUCCUUCCUUGUGCAUGGUUUGCAUGUGGAAGCAGAAGUCUGGUGAUCAAAAAUGUAGACUUUGAUCCCAGCAUUCAGAAAGCAGAAGUAAGCAGAUUUCUGUAGUUCAAGGCCAGCCAGGACUAUAUACUGAAACCUUCCUUCAAAAAGAAAAAAAAAAAAAAUCCCAGCACUCGGGAGGUAGAGGCAGGCAGAUUUCUGAGUUCGAGGCCAGCCUGGUCUACAAAGUGAGUUCCAGGAUAG